GACGAACGCUGGCGGCGUGCUUAACACAUGCAAGUCGAACGGAAAGGCUCCAGCUUGCUGGAGUACUCGAGUGGCGAACGGGUGAGUAACACGUGGGUAAUCUGCCCUGCACUCUGGGAUAAGCCUGGGAAACUGGGUCUAAUACUGGAUAUGACCUUUCUCCUUAUGGGGUUUGGUGGAAAGUUUUUCGGUGUAGGAUGAGCCCGCGGCCUAUCAGCUUGUUGGUGGGGUGAUGGCCUACCAAGGCGACGACGGGUAGCCGGCCUGAGAGGGUGAUCGGCCACAUUGGGACUGAGAUACGGCCCAGACUCCUACGGGAGGCAGCAGUGGGGAAUAUUGCACAAUGGGCGGAAGCCUGAUGCAGCGACGCCGCGUGAGGGAUGACGGCCUUCGGGUUGUAAACCUCUUUCAGCGGGGACGAAGCGUAAGUGACGGUACCUGCAGAAGAAGCACCGGCUAACUAUGUG
rnacentral:rRNA from 1 species